NNNNNNNNNNNNNNNAUCCUGGCUCAGGACGAACGCUGGCGGCGUGCUUAACACAUGCAAGUCGAGCGAUGAAGCUUCCUUCGGGAAGUGGAUUAGCGGCGGACGGGUGAGUAACACGUGGGUAACCUGCCUCAAAGUGGGGGAUAGCCUUCCGAAAGGRAGAUUAAUACCGCAUAAUAUAAGAGAAUCGCAUGAUUUUCUUAUCAAAGAUUUAUUGCUUUGAGAUGGACCCGCGGCGCAUUAGCUAGUUGGUAAGGUAACGGCUUACCAAGGCAACGAUGCGUAGCCGACCUGAGAGGGUGAUCGGCCACAUUGGAACUGAGACACGGUCCAGACUCCUACGGGAGGCAGCAGUGGGGAAUAUUGCGCAAUGGGGGAAACCCUGACGCAGCAACGCCGCGUGGGUGAUGAAGGUCUUCGGAUUGUAAAGCCCUGUUUUCUAGGACGAUAAUGACGGUACUAGAGGAGGAAGCCACGGCUAACUACGUGCCAGCAGCCGCGGUAAUACGUAGGUGGCGAGCGUUGUCCGGAUUUACUGGGCGUAAAGGGUGCGUAGGCGGAUGUUUAAGUGGGAUGUGAAAUCCCCGGGCUUAACCUGGGGGCUGCAUUCCAAACUGGAUAUCUAGAGUGCAGGAGAGGAAAGCGGAAUUCCUAGUGUAGCGGUGAAAUGCGUAGAGAUUAGGAAGAACACCAGUGGCGAAGGCGGCUUUCUGGACUGUAACUGACGCUGAGGCACGAAAGCGUGGGUAGCAAACAGGAUUAGAUACCCUGGUAGUCCACGCCGUAAACGAUGGAUACUAGGUGUAGGGGGUAUCAACUCCCCCUGUGCCGCAGUUAACACAAUAAGUAUCCCGCCUGGGGAGUACGGUCGCAAGAUUAAAACUCAAAGGAAUUGACGGGGGCCCGCACAAGCAGCGGAGCAUGUGGUUUAAUUCGAAGCAACGCGAAGAACCUUACCUGGACUUGACAUCCCUUGCAUAGCCUAGAGAUAGGUGAAGCCCUUCGGGGCAAGGAGACAGGUGGUGCAUGGUUGUCGUCAGCUCGUGUCGUGAGAUGUUAGGUUAAGUCCUGCAACGAGCGCAACCCUUGUUAUUAGUUGCUACCAUUAAGUUGAGCACUCUAAUGAGACUGCCUGGGUAACCAGGAGGAAGGUGGGGAUGACGUCAAAUCAUCAUGCCCCUUAUGUCCAGGGCUACACACGUGCUACAAUGGUAGGUACAAUAAGACGCAAGACCGUGAGGUGGAGCAAAACUUAUAAAACCUAUCUCAGUUCGGAUUGUAGGCUGCAACUCGCCUACAUGAAGCUGGAGUUGCUAGUAAUCGCGAAUCAGAAUGUCGCGGUGAAUACGUUCCCGGGCCUUGUACACACCGCCCGUCACACCAUGAGAGCUGGUAACACCCGAAGUCCGUGAGGUAACCGUAAGGAGCCAGCGGCCGAAGGUGGGAUUAGUGAUUGGGGUGAAGUCGNNNNNNNNNNNNNNNNNNNNNNNNNNNNNNNNNNNNNNNNNNNNN
rnacentral:rRNA from 14 species